rnacentral:siRNA from 1 species
GAUACGGGCUUUGCCCUCCAUGC